rnacentral:rRNA from 1 species
AGAGUUUGAUCAUGGCUCAGAGCGAACGCUGGCGGCAGGCUUAACACAUGCAAGUCGAGCGGGCGUAGCAAUACGUCAGCGGCAGACGGGUGAGUAACGCGUGGGAACGUACCUUUUGGUUCGGAACAACACAGGGAAACUUGUGCUAAUACCGGAUAAGCCCUUACGGGGAAAGAUUUAUCGCCGAAAGAUCGGCCCGCGUCUGAUUAGCUAGUUGGUGGGGUAACGGCUCACCAAGGCGACGAUCAGUAGCUGGUCUGAGAGGAUGAUCAGCCACAUUGGGACUGAGACACGGCCCAAACUCCUACGGGAGGCAGCAGUGGGGAAUAUUGGACAAUGGGCGCAAGCCUGAUCCAGCCAUGCCGCGUGAGUGAUGAAGGCCCUAGGGUUGUAAAGCUCUUUUGUGCGGGAAGAUAAUGACGGUACCGCAAGAAUAAGCCCCGGCUAACUUCGUGCCAGCAGCCGCGGUAAUACGAAGGGGGCUAGCGUUGCUCGGAAUCACUGGGCGUAAAGGGUGCGUAGGCGGGUCUUUAAGUCAGGGGUGAAAUCCUGGAGCUCAACUCCAGAACUGCCUUUGAUACUGAGGAUCUUGAGUUCGGGAGAGGUGAGUGGAACUGCGAGUGUAGAGGUGAAAUUCGUAGAUAUUCGCAAGAACACCAGUGGCGAAGGCGGCUCACUGGCCCGAUACUGACGCUGAGGCACGAAAGCGUGGGGAGCAAACAGGAUUAGAUACCCUAGUAGUCC